rnacentral:rRNA from 1 species
UUCCCUUACCUUAUCUCCCAGACUCUUCUAGCUACCGAUGUUCAAGCUCCACGAGAUAGACUCAGAAGGUGAGGUGCGGUCCGCUGUCCAGGGUUGUCGCUGCCGGCGGCGGCAAGGCUCAGUGUUGCAGGUUGCACCACCCUUGUCUGAUGCUCCCAAGCCUGGGCCUAAGUGUGUGAGCCGCUUCCAUGUCGUUGUUCCCCUCAAUUCGAGCUCCAUGAGAGACAAUCCCCACAAGGUGAGAUCCCAAGAACUGUUGUGGGUAGCACCACCCGCACGACCGCAUUCAAUGCACCCAAGCCCAGGCCUAAGUGCAGCUGCUCCCAUGGUCCAUGUUGUUGUCCCCUCCCCCACCUCGCCGGGUCAACCCGCUCCCAAGGUGAAGGACACGCGGCAAUCCAUGCGGGCGGUCAUCUCAUAAACCAAGAUCUGGUAGGAGCUCGUGUAGGCGCACUUCAAGGUGGGAGCUCGAUGCAAUCUCCACAAGCAGAGAGUCAAGGCCAGCAACAUACCCAUGGAAGAGGAAGUAUGAUGAUCCAUUUCCAUGAGGAAGAACGUUGAUGCUGAUCCACAGAAGGUAAUUCCUAUCGAUGGUAAUCUAUAGUCAUGUGUUCCACGGGGCUACAAUUUACAAUAGAGUAGAUAGGUAGAAGAAAGGGUGCAACCACGAAAAGGUUUUCGUGGGGAUAUGUCGUUACAUGGGAGAAAAAUAUAUUUUUUCUUCUGAUUUUCUCGAGCUUAACUGCAAUUAGAUAUAGGAGAUAUAUAAUAAUGAUGUGUUUAUGUGAUGGGGCUAAAGCUUUCAUCGGUUCGAGCGGCAGCCGACUUGUUCUCGCUAGUCUGCUUUUUCCCUCGCCGGUUGAGCUCUACAUUCUUGGCGGCAGUGCGGUGGUUUGUUUCUUUUACUUGCAUUAUGAUUUGUUGCUUGUGGCGUAGUUUCCUCCUGCAUUUGUCAUGUAUGUGGCUUUGGGUGGAUUCAUGUUUUUGUUAUGCCAUUGGUCUAGAGUUUGUUGAUUUCGUGUGGUUGGGUUGCGUGGCUGGUUGAAUCGUCUUAUGCCUACUUUGUUUGUUGUGUUCUUGCCAUGUUGGAUGAGUCAUGUACGUGGCGUGGGAGGAUUAAUAAGUGGGCAUCCCUGAAGAAUCUUUCCCUUCCAUUUUUUCUAUCUUGGGUUAGCUCCAUCCAUGUUUGCUGUUUGUGUUGGAAAUUUGGGUGCUUCCUAAUAAUGGUAGAUAUAUCACACGAGCUGGUGAGUAAUCAUGCUUGGCUUUGGGGAUGAGAAUCCCGAGAUCAACCUUGGGUUGGCCUCGCCAUCAUCGACGCACGUGCGGUGAUUCAUUAUUGAAGGUGUAGCCUAGGAAUUGUUUUUUUAAGGCAUAUAGCUCUUGGCCCAUCUAACCCAGCCCACCGGUGAGCACACAUUUCCGGCCACUCUUGGCGAGCUUCCAUUCUAAACCCUCCUUCUCCCCACCCCAUCUGUAGAAAAUGCUAGAGUGCAAAUUUAACGACACACGAGGGAUUGCUUCAGAUAUACUCGUUUUUUGAGCACCCAUAUACAAAUUUAACAAUAUCUCAUCAAUCGCUAAGCUCCCUGGUAUCGCUUGGGAAGCAAUUGAGGCUGUCGAAUCAAUCCUUCACGUUGAUUUUGACUCGGUCUUGGGCUGGGUUGUGUGGGGUCGGUCCCUCCCAGCACGCAUUAUCCUACGGGGCCAACGGGUGGCCAACACAUGUUCUACUAGGCCCCACCACUCAUAAAACUUAUUUUCAUUUUUUUUUCUUAUUUCGUUUCCCUUACCUUAUCUCCCGGACUCUUCCAGCUGCCGACGCUCGAGCUCCACAAGAUAGACUCAGAAGGUGAGGUGUGGUCCACUGUCCAUGGCUGUCGCUGCCGGUGGCGGCAAGGCUCACUGUUGCAGGUUGCACUACCCUUGUUCGGUGCUCCCAAGCCUGGGCCUAAGUUGUGGGAGCUGCUUCCAUGUCGUUGUUCCCCUCAAUUCGAGCUCCAUGAGAGACGAUCCCCACAAGGUGAGAUCCCAAGAACUGUUGUGGGUAGCACCACCCGCAUGACCGCAUUCAAUGCACCUAAGCCCAGGCCUAAGUGCAGUUGCUCCCAUGGUCCAUGCCGUUGUCCCCUCCCCCACCUCGCCAGGUCAACCCGCUCCCAAGGUGAAGGCCACACGGCAAUCCAUGCGGGCGGUCAUCUCGUAAACUAAGAUUUGGUAGGAGCUAGUGUAGGCGCACUUCAAGGUGGGAGCUCGAUGCAAUCUCCACAAGCAGAGGUGAGUGCUACCUGCAUAUGCUACUUCAUCUACCUCUAUACUACUGAAGUUGUAGAAACAGAGGAGGAGCAGAGUGUAUGCACAUAUGCACGUACUAAAGUUUGAUGUCCAUCCUCACCUAUCAGUUAUUCUUAGUUUUCAAACACACGAGUACAAGGAAAUCUACAAACUGGGUUCCACCUUUUUUGUAUCGAUCAUCUGUGUUUCCACCCGCCUCACCCACAGUUGUGGCCUCAUGAUCUGAACAUCACAUACCUAAUUAGUUCUACCGCUACUUGUUAAGACUAUGUUUAAAAAGUAUGUUCAUCAUAGAUUAAACUCUUUGUUUAUUCUUGCUUAAUUUUGUCUCCUCCAUACGAUAAAGUAAAGAUAAUUUGCAGAUUCAAGGCCAGCAACAUACCCGUGAAGAGGAAGUACGAUGAUCCAUUUCCAUGAGGAAGAUCGUAGAUGCUGAUCUACAGAAUGCAAUUCCUAUUAAUUGUAAUCUAUAGUCAUGUGUUCCACGGGGCUACAAUUUACAAUAGAGUAGAUAGGUAGAAGAAAGGGUGCAACCACGAAAAAAUUUCACGGGGAUAUGUCGUUACAUGGGAGAAAAAAAUUAUUUUUUUUCUUCCGAUUUUCUCGAGCUUAACUGCAAUUAGAUAUAGGAGAUAUAUAAUAAUGAUGCGUUUAUGUGAUGUACCCAAAGCUUUCGUCGGUUCGAGCGGCAGCCGGCCUGUUCUCGCAGGUCUGCUUUUUCCUCGCCGGUUGAGCUCUACAUUCUCGGCGGCAGUGUGGUGGUUUGUUCUUUUACUUGCAUUAUGAUUUGUUGCUUGUGGCGUAGUUUCCUCCUGCAUUUGUCAUGUAUGUGGCUUUGGGUGGAUUCAUGUUUUUGUUAUGCCAUUGGUCUAGAGUUUGUUGAUUUCGUGUGGUUGGGUUGCGUGGCUGGUUGAAUCGUCUUAUGCCUACUUUGUUUGUUGUGUUCUUGCCAGGUUGGAUGAGUCAUGUAUGCGGCGUGGGAGGAUUAAUAAGUGGGCAUCCCUGAAGAGAAUCUUUCCCUUCCAUUUUUUUUCUAUCUUGGAUUAGCUCCAUCCAUGUUUAUUGUUUGUGUUGGAAAUUUGGGUGCUUCCUAAUAAUGGUAGAUAUACCACAUGAGCUGGUGAGUAAUCAUGUUUGGCUUUGGGGAUGAGAAUUCCGAGACCAAGCUUGGGUUGGCCUCGCCAUCAUCGACGCACAUGCGGUGACUCAUUAUUGAAGGUGUAGCCUAAGAAUUGUGUAUUUUUUGAGUUUGUCUUUUAUCAGGAUUAGUGUUUGUCUGGUGGAGUUACACAAGGCAUGCGACCUC